UACGUAGGGGGCUAGCGUUGUCCGGAUUCAUUGGGCGUAAAGAGCGUGUAGGCGGCCCGGUAAGUCUGCUGUGAAAGCCGGGGGCUCAACCCUCGAAUGCCGGUGGAUACUGUCGGGCUAGAGUGCGGAAGAGGCGAGUGGAAUUCCUGGUGUAGCGGUGAAAUGCGCAGAUAUCAGGAGGAACACCAAUUGCGAAGGCAGCUCGCUGGGGCGUAACUGACGCUGAGACGCGAAAGCGUGGGGAGCAAACAGG
rnacentral:rRNA from 1 species